UGCUCUAACCUCUGAGCUAAGCGGGC
rnacentral:tRNA from 1 species